AUUGAACGCUGGCGGCAGGCCUAACACAUGCAAGUCGAGCGGAUGAUGGGAGCUUGCUCCUGGAUUCAGCGGCGGACGGGUGAGUAAUGCCUAGGAAUCUGCCUGGUAGUGGGGGACAACGUUUCGAAAGGAACGCUAAUACCGCAUACGUCCUACGGGAGAAAGCAGGGGACCUUCGGGCCUUGCGCUAUCAGAUGAGCCUAGGUCGGAUUAGCUUGUUGGUGAGGUAAUGGCUCACCAAGGCGACGAUCCGUAACUGGUCUGGGAGGAUGAUCAGUCACACUGGAACUGAGACACGGUCCAGACUCCUACGGGAGGCAGCAGUGGGGAAUAUUGGACAAUGGGCGAAAGCCUGAUCCAGCCAUGCCGCGUGUGUGAAGAAGGUCUUCGGAUUGUAAAGCACUUUAAGUUGGGAGGAAGGGUUGUAGAUUAAUACUCUGCAAUUUUGACGUUACCGACAGAAUAAGCACCGGCUAACUCUGUGCCAGCCGCCGCGAUAAAAC
rnacentral:rRNA from 1 species